GCAGCGGUCUGCAGACGUGACUUCUGAUCAAAUUCGAACCACCUCCUAAAGAAACAAAGAGCGACAUUACAUUGCGGGAUGACGUCACCUGAAAAUGACCAAUAGCGCGGGGCGCUGCUGAGCUGUGUGCCAACCGCUCUUUUUUUUCAUGCAGGAGACUCAAGUUGGCUUCGCUAACGGACACAGUUUUGAACUCGUAUAUUAGCGCCAUUUAUUGCUGCUUGGACCACAGCAUCUUCGGAAUUUGUAGACAUCCUGGCAGCUUACAAUUAGUUCGAGGUGAGACACUGAAUUUGAGCAGAAACCAUAAGGAUACUCAAAGGACCUGUGACUCUCAGGAAAUGCAUCAAAUGAGAGGGACAGAUGAAACAGUUUCAAGACAAUGGCAGGAAAAACAUGCUGAAGAUUGAAACAAACCUUGGCUGGAAAUAUUUGAAGGUAUCUAGCCAGUCCACAAUGAAAGCUUCGUUGCACCCCAUGAGUCUUCUGGCAGAAAUGAUGGCGCCUGUAUUCUUUGGUUUCCCUAAACAUCACACCCUGCCUGUUUAUACGAGGCUCUUCAAUUAAGUCUGCACCCAAAGAUUCAAUAAGAGGUAAGCAGUGGUAUUAUUCAAGUUUUGCUAAAGAAAGAUGGACAGGAGACACUAAUCUUAAUCAGCCGAGCUCAGGUUCAUGUCCAGGUGAGCAGUUUCAUACGCUAUAAAAUGUAGAUUGAAUGAUA